ensembl:snoRNA
CCCGUCAUUGAACCUGACCAUUCUCUGUUGGCUGGUGCAGCCCAGUGGUGAGCUGAGAAUAAAGUCAAGCUUAGGAAACGUGGUUGUUCUUCACGUGGAUGGCUCUGUGCUGAAAGCAUGGGGACAGUC